rnacentral:rRNA from 1 species
UAGGCUGCAUCGUGAGAUGCGGGGUAGGGGAGCGUUGUGUAAGCGGAGAAACAGUAGCGUAAGCGGCUGUGGAGUUUACAGAAGUGAGAAUGCCGGAAUGAGUAGCGCGAAUGCAGUGAGAAUCUGCAUGGCCGAAAGCCUCAGGUUUCUGGAGGAAGGUUCGUCCGCUCCAGGUUAGUCGGGAGCUAAGGUGAGGCCUAACGGCGUAGCCGAUGCACAGACGGUAGAGAUUCCGUCACCACCAAAAGAGUUAAGCACAGGGACACAUAUGAAGUCUCGGAGCCGGGUGUUGGUUCCGGUAGCGAUCGAGGGAAAUUAGUACCGAAGUCCGGGAUGGAAGAUGGCGAGAAAAGCUGUGUGUAUUUCUGCGGUGCCCGUACCGCAAACCGACACAGGUAGGUAGGAAGAAGAUUCUAAGGCCAACGGGAGAAGGGUUGUUAAGGAACUCGGCAAAUUGACCCCGUAACUUCGGGAGAAGGGGUGCUCCAGAGAUGGAGCCGCAGAGAAUCGGCCCAAGCAACUGUUUACCAAAAACACAGGUUUGUGCUAAAUCGAAAGAUGACGUAUACGAGCUGACGCCUGCCCGGUGCUGGAAGGUUAAGAGGAGAUGUGCAAGCAUUGAAUCGAAGCCCCAGUGAACGGCGGCCGUAACUAUAACGGUCCUAAGGUAGCGAAAUUCCUUGUCAGGUAAGUUCUGACCCGCAUGAAAGGCGUAAUGAUUUGGGCACUGUCUCAACAGCCCGCCCGGCGAAAUUGUAGUACCGGUGAAGAUGCCGGUUACCCGCGACAAGACGGAAAGACCCCAUGGAGCUUUACUGUAGCCUAAUAUUGGGUUUCGAUGUUGCAUGCACAGGAUAGAUGGGACACAGGGAAACAAGUGCUUUGGCAUUUGUGGAGUGGCCGUUGGGAUACCAUCCUUGCGAUAUUGGAAUUCUAACCUGCGCCUUUGAAUCAAGGCGGGGGACAUUGUUAGGUGGGCAGUUUGACUGGGGCGGUCGCCUCCUAAAGAGUAACGGAGGCGUUCAAAGGUUCGCUCAGCUUGAACGGAAAUCAAGCAAAAGAGUGCAAACGCAGAAGCGAGCCUAACUGCGAGACUGACGGGUCGAGCAGUAACGAAAGUUGGAGUUAGUGAUCCGGUGGUAUGUGAGUGGAAAUGCCAUCGCUCAACGGAUAAAAGUUACCCUGGGGAUAACAGGCUGAUCUCCCCCAAGAGUCCACAUCGACGGGGAGGUUUGGCACCUCGAUGUCGGCUCAUCGCAUCCUGGGGCUGUAUUCGGUCCCAAGGGUUUGGCUGUUCGCCAAUUAAAGCGGUACGCGAGCUGGGUUCAGAACGUCGUGAGACAGUUCGGUCCCUAU